rnacentral:rRNA from 1 species
GAUGAACGCUGGCGGCGUGCCUAAUACAUGCAAGUCGAGCGAACAGACGAGGAGCUUGCUCCUCUGAUGUUAGCGGCGGACGGGUGAGUAACACGUGGAUAACCUACCUAUAAGACUGGGAUAACUUCGGGAAACCGGAGCUAAUACCGGAUAAUAUAUUGAACCGCAUGGUUCAAUAGUGAAAGACGGUCUUGCUGUCACUUAUAGAUGGAUCCGCGCCGCAUUAGCUAGUUGGUAAGGUAACGGCUUACCAAGGCAACGAAGCGUAGCCGACCUGAGAGGGAGGUCGGCCACACUGGGACUGAGACACGGUCCAGAGUCCUACGGGAGGCAGGAGUAGGGAAUCUUGCGCAAUGGGCGAAAGCCUGACGGAGCAACGCCGCGUGAGUGAUGAAGGUCUUCGGAUCGUAAACCUCUGUUAUUAGGGAAGAACAAAUGUGUAAGUAACUAUGCACGUCUUGACGGUACCUAAUCAGAAAGCCACGGCUAACUACGUG